GACGGUGAAACAUGUGUGUAGUUUUUUCGCGAGUUGCCAUGUUCCGAUAGCAAUUAAUCCGGCAAAUCGAGUUAUAUUUGAUUACGAAUCAACGCCAUGUAAUAAUAACAAAUGUGUAAUAUUAGUAAACGGGAAGUUAUUCUCUGUCGGCUCUUGGAUGUCGUGGAUUACAAAGCCUGGGUUGUGCGAACAUGUUACCUUUUCUUGCCGUAGAUGUAUGGAAGACGACUGUUUGUUUCAGUACUUUCUUAUCCGACACACUGG